rnacentral:lncRNA from 1 species
CCAAUUUAUGGCAUUAUGUUUUCUUGUCUGUGCAUCCAUUCGUUUGUUUGUCCUUCCGUCCGUUUGUUCGUUGGUCCCGUUUCAGGUUAAAGUUUUUGAUGAAGUUGAAGUCCAAUCAACUUGAAACUUAGUAUACAUGUUCCCUAUGAUAUAAUCUUUCUUAUUUUAAUGCCAAAUUAGAGAUUUCCCCCCAUUUUCACGGUCC